rnacentral:rRNA from 1 species
UACGGAGGGUGCAAGCGUUGUUCGGAAUCAUUGGGCGUAAAGCGCGUGUAGGCGGCUUGGCAAGUCGGUUGUGAAAGCCCGGGGCCCAACCCCGGAACUGCAUCUGAAACUGCCUGGCUAGAGUCCCGGAGAGGAAGGCAGAAUUCCCGGUGUAGGGGUGAAAUCCGUAGAUAUCGGGAGGAACAUCAGUGGCGAAGGCGGCUGCCUGGCCCAAUACUGACACUCAGGUGCGACAGCGUGGGGAGCAAACAGG